UACGGAGGAUCCGAGCGUUAUCCGGAUUUAUUGGGUUUAAAGGGAGCGUAGGUGGAUUGUUAAGUCAGUUGUGAAAGUUUGCGGCUCAACCGUAAAAUUGCAGUUGAAACUGGCAGUCUUGAGUACAGUAGAGGUGGGCGGAAUUCGUGGUGUAGCGGUGAAAUGCUUAGAUAUUACUCAGAACACCGAUUGCGCAGGCAGCUUGCUAAUCCGCAUCUGACGCUGAUGCACGAAAGCGUGGGUAGCGAACAGG
rnacentral:rRNA from 1 species